UACGGGGGGAGCAAGCGUUGUUCGGAUUUACUGGGCGUAAAGGGCGCGUAGGCGGCCAGCACAAGUCAGUUGUGAAAUCUCCGAGCUUAACUCGGAAAGGUCAACUGAUACUGUGCGGCUAGAGUGCGGAAGGGGCAACUGGAAUUCUUGGUGUAGCGGUGAAAUGCGUAGAUAUCAAGAGGAACACCUGCGGCGAAGGCGGGUUGCUGGGCCGACACUGACGCUGAGGCGCGAAAGCGUGGGGGAGCGAACAGG
rnacentral:rRNA from 1 species